ensembl:lncRNA
UGCAAAUGAUCAGAGCUCUGUUCAAAAGCACUGUUGGCUUUAAAUAGUCUUUUCAGAUAUCACCAUUCCUCCUUUCAAGCAAAACCCCUACUGAUGAAGCGCAGCGCUGUGUGCUCACACAGCUCUAAGGAGUGGUUGUGUGGUUACUCCAUGGUGAGGAUUAGUCACACAUUAACCACAGCUGUAAAAACAUGUCUAUGGGAAAAUCACAUCCAAACAUGGAGGGCCUUUCAGUCGGCCGCUUGUUACUGACAAGCCUCCUACUGUGUCCCUGCUGAUCACUACACGUUCCAGGUGACCUUGCAGCCCGGCUUUGUCUCUUACACAAGGCUGUGGGAAACCAUGGAGCUUCCUAGUGCAGAGAACAAGGUCGAGUGCCAAAGAGGUGACAGAGAGUGAUGAAACCCUUCUGGUAGGGCCAUUUCCUAAUCUCAGCUGGCCACGUGCAAUCACCUAGAAGUUCUUCAUGCAGAUGUCUGGGAAACCAAACGUGUCCAUCUGGGUGGUAGUCAGCACUUAGCAUUAUGCAAACAAUACACUAGAAGGUUGAAAAACAUCUGGAAUUUGUUGGGGGAACAUCCACUCCACUGCCUGGCUUCAGGGUGAGCUUUACAUCCACACCAACAGAAGCAAACUCAGAAGGCCCUCAGCUGCUUCUCCCACUGCUCUGAGUCUUCUGAGCUUACCAAACCUACCAUUUGCUGCUCCCACUAAGAAAACCCUUUACCACAGUGGCUCCUCUUGGUGGCUCAUGAUGCAUCCUCACCAGUCUGCUGGUCACAAUCCCAGAUCCCUCUACCACAUCCCCACUCUGCAGAAAAGGAUGAGAAGCCUUAUGAGAAACCCAAUGGGCUCCAGCAGAGGCUUCAUCAUGGCAGACUCUCCUGAACAGAGCCCUUCCUUCCCUGCCUCCACCUAUGUUUUAUUUCUCCCCCCUGCUCUUUUGCCCCAUAGCUGCAGGCUACAAUUACUAACAGUGACUAAUAAAGAGGCAGGGCAGCACCAGAUGAACCCUGAAAGGUCAACCUAAAAGCAACGGUUUAAGAGCAGCCAAAAGCAAUUGUCCAAAAGCAGUCUGAAAUCAAUUAUUCUUCAGCCCAACAUUACCCUCCUGCAUAAAAUAACUCCUCCUGACCUCACCAAACCUUUGAUUUGCUCCAUCUGAGAAGCUCUGCUGUUGCUUCCCAUUCAGAAGUCUCAUCUUCCUCUGUGAAGGUACUGGGGCAAGUUCCUCCAGGAUUGAUGCCAACCAAAAGGGAAGCUCCUGUGUUUGAUCUGAACCCAACCAGAAGUGCCCAAAAUUCAGCCCAUGCUUACCCACAGCGUUUACAAAUCUCAGAAGCCUUGAGGCAAGCCAGGAAGAAAUGUCUGAUGUUUGGUGAAAGCCUAUGCUAUGGAGAAAUCUUCUGCUAAGUCCACACGGUUAUCCCUUCUCUUCAUGAAUCAUACUGAAUCCUUUAUGUUAGCUGUACUAAGGACUUCAUCACAGAGCUCUCCAUGGAGACUGCAACAUAAGAUAAGGGAAAGCGGUAGCAAAAAGAUGAGAAAUGCAAAAAAAAAGACUUUUUCAUACACAUACACUUUGUAACAAUGAGUUGUCAUUGUCCAG